AAAAACAUAGUCCCUUGAAUUUAAUAAGGGAUCAAGCCUGCCCAAUGGAAUAAUUUUCUUAAUGGCCGCGGUAUCUUGACCGUGCAAAGGUAGCAUAAUCAUUUGUCUCUUAAAUGGAGACUGGUAUGAAUGGCACUACAUUUCCUAACUGUCUCCUUUAUACACUUUUUAAACUUCUACUAACGUGAAGAAGCGUUAAUUAAAAAGAAAGACGAGAAGACCCUGUCGAGCUUAAUCCUCUAUAUUAUAUAAUCCUUUUAUAGGAAUAAAUUACUAAUAGAAGAUUCGGUUGGGGCAACCAUGGAGUUAUAAUUAUCCUCCAGAAAAAUAAAAAUAUUUUUAAUAUUUUAUUUAUUAUACAGAACCAGAAUACUGGUAAACAGAAAAAGUUACCGCAGGGAUAACAGCGUUAUCUCCUUUAAGAGUUCAUAUUGACAAGGAGGAUUGCGACCUCGAUGUUGGAUUGGGGUAACCAAAGGGUGCAGCAGCUCUUAAGGUUGGACUGUUCGUCCAUUAAUCCCCUACGUGAUC
rnacentral:rRNA from 1 species